rnacentral:rRNA from 1 species
GCAUAAUAAUUUGCCUCUUAAUUGAAGGCUAGAAUGAAUGGGUAAACGAAAAUAUAUCUGUCUCCUUCACAUCCCUAAAAAUUAUUCUUCAGGUGAAGAAACCUGAAUCCAUAUAAAAGACAAGAAGACCCUGACGAGCUUUAAUCCCUUAACUAGUCCUAACACCUAUCAAUACACCCCCCUUUUAAGGGAUAUUUAUUGGGGCGAUAAUGGAAUACAUCUAACUUCCAUCACACCUCAGACACCACGUCCUUUCUUAGAUCCUCUAAUGAUAAUAGGCAACAGCUACCGCAGGGAUAACAGGCUUAUUCUCCUUAAGAGCCCAAAUCUACAGGAGAGUUUGG